UAUUCCGCCCCAUGGGGAAGGAUGAGAAGCUUCGACUAAGGUUCGACUCGAGCGCCAGCGAGAGAACGUUGCCACAGGCAACGGCCCGAAGGGCGAGGCGCUUUAGCGCCGAGUAAUCCUUCCCCCACCACCA
rnacentral:sRNA from 1 species